AUACUUACCUGGCAGGGGAGAUACCAUGAUCAUGAAGGUGGUCUUCCCAGGGUAGGGCUCAUCCAUUGUGCUCCAGAUAUGCUGAUCCCUGCAAUUUUCUCAAAUGUGGGAGACUCAACUGCGUGAUUUGUGGUAGUGUGGGAUUGCGUUUGCACUUUGAUAUU